AGUGAACGCUGGCGGUAGGCCUAACACAUGCAAGUCGAACGGCAGCACAGUAAGAGCUUGCUCUUACGGGUGGCGAGUGGCGGACGGGUGAGGAAUACAUCGGAAUCUACUUUUUCGUGGGGGAUAACGUAGGGAAACUUACGCUAAUACCGCAUACGACCUACGGGUGAAAGCAGGGGAUCUUCGGACCUUUCGCGAUUGAAUGAGCCGAUGUCGGAUUAGCUAGUUGGCGGGGUAAAGGCCCACCAAGGCGACGAUCCGUAGCUGGUCUGAGAGGAUGAUCAGCCACACUGAAACUGAGACACGGUCCAGACUCCUACGGGAGGCAGCAGUGGGGAAUAUUGGACAAUGGGCGCAAGCCUGAUCCAGCCAUACCGCGUGGGUGAAGAAGGCCUUCGGGUUGUAAAGCCCUUUUGUUGGGAAAGAAAAGCAGCAGGUUAAUACCCCGCUGUUCUGACGGUACCCAAAGAAUAAGCACCGGCUAACUUCGUG
rnacentral:rRNA from 1 species